GAUGAACGCUGGCGGCGUGCCUACUACAUGCAAGUCGAGCGAACGGACGAGAAGCUUGCUUCUCUGAUAUUAGCGGCGGACGGGUGAGUAACACGUGGAUAACCUACCUAUAAGACUGGGAUAACUUCGGGAAACCGGAGCUAAUACCGUAUGAUAUUUUGAACCGCAUGGUUCAUAAGUGAAAGACGGUCUUGCUGUCACUUAUUGAUGGAUCCGCGCUGCAUUAGCUAGUUGGUAAGGUAACGUUUUACCAAGGCAACGAUGCUUAGCCGACCUGAGAGGGUGAUCGGCCACACUGUAGCUGAGACACGCUCCAGACUCCUAGGGGAGGCAGCAGUAGGGAAUCUUCCGCAAUGGGCGAAAGCCUGACGGAGCAACGCCGCGUGGGUGAUGAAGGUCUUCGGAUCGUAAAACUCUGUUAUUAGGGAAGAACAUAUGUGUAAGUAACUGUGCACAUCGUGACGGUACCUAAUCAGAAAGCCACGGCUAACUACGUG
rnacentral:rRNA from 1 species